rnacentral:RNase_P_RNA from 1 species
AGAGUUCGCUGGACGAUCGCUGGCAGCAUUUGCUGCGGGAGGCAACGUCCGGACUCCGUAGAGCGACGUAGCAGGUAACACCUGCCCACCGUGAGGUGAGGAUCAGAGCAACAGAGACGAGUCGACGAGCGAUCGUCGGGUGAAACGGGCAAUCUCUACGUGGAGCAACACCAAAUAGGCGGCCGAUGAUCCUGCUCGGUGAGGUCGCGGGUAGGUGGCUUGAGCUGACGGGCGACUGCCAGCCUAGAGGAAUGAUCGUCACGGCGCUUCGUGGAAACACGGGCGGUGCACAGAAUCCGGCGUACAGGCGGACUUUGCUU